rnacentral:lncRNA from 1 species
GGGGUUGUCCUAAAGUGGUUAGGGGUCUUUUUAUGAGCACUUUUGGUUAGGAGUGAAUGAGAAGUUGCACCGUUAGCCUUUAGUAGUCUUGUAUCGCGAUGUAUGACGCUUAAUAUGUAUCGUGCCCUAUGUGUUAACUUGUGAACUUUAGUGGUUGCAAUUCCUACUACUCAAUUCUCAUAUCCAAAUUUACCCAUCAUGUUCAUUUGUUCAACAACAUUAAAGAACUUCAUUAGAGACGGUAUUGAUUAACCUAUGACCAUUUCCCUUACCACAUGAUUGUUCUAUGACUAAGCAUGGCUAAGUAAUUUGCAAGAUCAAGUUAUUAUAAGCAUACUACUCGAGCGACAAGGUAUAUGACAACAAAGCUAGGGAGUCCAUAAUAACAAAAACAUGGGUUCUGAUAACGCAAUAAGAUGACCCACAUGCAUAGCGAUACAUAGUAACAAUUUCAUUUCAAAAGUAGGAGAUAAAUAUGCUUAGCGACUUGCCUUGGUUCUCUUUGGGCUCAACUAGAG